CCUUGAACCACCGCACUCUGGGCCCUUCACAGUGGAGGACAUGCACCGGCAGCUGUGCCACUGCCAACCAGGCAAGGCUCAAGGACCAGAUGGCAUCCAGACACGGGUGCUCAAGAGCUGUGCUCCUAUUCUCCACUCCAUCUUCUGGGAGACCUACAGGUCUGCUUCAGUGCUCUCCCUAUGGAAAACAUCCACUGUGAUACCAGUGCCCAAGAAACCCCAUCCUUCAGAACUUAACCAGUUCCAGCCAGUUGCACUCACUUUGUCAUGAAAUGCUUGGAAAAACUGAUUUUGAACAUCAUCAUGCCAUUUGUCAGACCCUUAUCUGUUCUACUACAAAGCCAAAAAGGGGACUGAUCAUCCUUUGGUAUUACUCCUUCACUCCUUCCUGCAGCAACUUAGAUAACCUGAUAACUUUGCCUGACGAUUUUUCUUUGACUUCAGGUCUGCUUAAGUUUCAAAACACUUCAGUGCCACCCGAUGAUCAGAAAACCUCCCCAUCUAAAGGUGCCCCAACUCCUUGUUCACUGGCUACACAGCUUCCUCAGUCACAGAAAACAAGCAGUAAGAGUGGGCACAGGAACAUCUUCAACCACCAUUACCAACCCUGGAGCCCCAUUAGUCUGGAAGUUAAACAAAUCAGUCAAAUCCAUCAGGGAUAAUUUCAUUCACGAAUAUUACAAUAAUUUCCGUCAAUUACCUUUAAUUCCAUAAUGAGGAUGAGACAACGAUGAGCUAAAAAUAGAACACUGAUAAUAUAAAAACUCCUACAAAUGUAUGUUUGGUUUUUGUUUGAGAGGACACAGGGAAGAUUUCUCACAUUGUUAAACCAACAAUUAAGAUAAUAUCUUAGACGUUUUUAUAUCAGACACUCUUCAGGACGACAGUUUAUUAUUUGCAUGCUGUUACACAGUUUAUAUGUUUAAAGUUUUUUCCUGUUUUGGUAGUGUUUAAUUUGGUUGCAAUCACUUUAAGAGCUACAGGAAGUAUGCCUCAAGUGGUUGUGUCACAUGACCUGUAAUCAGGAAGUGAGGAGGCAUUAGACAACAUGGUUUUGUUAUGUUAUGGCCUUAAUAAUCCUGUGACAUCUGCUUGAACGUUCUUGCCUUUGAUAGCAUAGUGGAUGAUCACCAAGAACGGCACAACAGCAUUGCAUUAGCUGUCUAAAUCAACCAACUAAGAUGAGCUCACAGGGGACCUGAUCUCUGGGAAACAAAGAUAGCAGUAAGCAGAACAGGAGGAAACUGUGGGAGAGUUGAGGAUGGAUGACGGUAUGACUUCUAAUAUUAAUGGAUUUUGGUCAGAUGAUGAGAAUAAUAUCUGGUCAGUGCAGUCAUUUAUGUGCCGAAUACAAAGUUUUGUG